AGUGAACGCUGGCGGUAGGCCUAACACAUGCAAGUCGAACGGCAGCACAGUAAGAGCUUGCUCUUACGGGUGGCGGGUGGCGGACGGGUGAGGAAUACAUCGGAAUCUACUUUUUCGUGGGGGAUAACGUAGGGAAACUUACGCUAAUACCGCAUACGACCUACGGGUGAAAGCAGGGGAUCUUCGGACCUUGCGCGAUUGAAUGAGCCGAUGUCGGAUUAGCUAGUUGGCGGGGUAAAGGCCCACCAAGGCGACGAUCCGUAGCUGGUCUGAGAGGAUGAUCAGCCACACUGGAACUGAGACACGGUCCAGCCUCCUACGGGAGGCAGCAGUGGGGAAUAUUGGACAAUGGGCGCAAGCCUGAUCCAGCCAUACCGCGCGGGUGAAGAAGGCCUUCGGGUUGUAAAGCCCUUUUGUUGGGAAAGAAAAGCAGCAGGUUAAUACCCCGCUGUUCUGACGGUACCCAAAGAAUAAGCACCGGCUAACUUCGUG
rnacentral:rRNA from 1 species